AAGUACAGAGACAGGAGAUGGAAUUAUUAUUUAGAAAAAAAUCCAGCUAAGAAGAAAUAUACAUGGAAUAUUUGCUAUUUGAAGACUGGCUUGUGAUUUUUGAAGACUUGCAAGUUUGGACUUAAACCUAGUCUCCAAUAUAACAUUGGUCCAUUCUGUCCAAUCUGGACCUACAAUCUGAGGUUAUUCAUCCAACCAUUUUGGAAAACAGUUCAAAAUUGUGCAAAGAAAGUGAUGAAAAUGGUUAUGUCUUUUGAUCCAAAGAUCUCAUUGCUAAGUAUAUGUCCCAAAAAGGUCAUUUAUGAAGAGAAAGGUUCCAUAUAUAUGAAAAUAUUUAUAACAAUAGUUUUGUUGGAACAGAUUGUUAGAAACACAGUAGAUGCUCAUCAAUGGAGGAUUGGUUGAAUGAAUUGUGACAUGAGAAUUAUAUGUCUCAUGGCUAAGAAGAAUACAGAGAAAAAUGGAAAGCCGUAUAAAAUGAUGGAAAAUGAAGUAAGCAGA